AGUGAACGCUGGCGGUAGGCCUAACACAUGCAAGUCGAACGGCAGCACAGUAAGAGCUUGCUCUUACGGGUGGCGAGUGGCGGACGGGUGAGGAAUACAUCGGAAUCUACUUUUUCGUGGGGGAUAACGUAGGGAAACUUACGCUAAUACCGCAUACGACCUACGGGUGAAAGCAGGGGAUCUUCGGACCUUGCGCGAUUGAAUGAGCCGAUGUCGGAUUAGCUAGUUGGCGGGGUAAAGGCCCACCAAGGCGACGAUCCGUAGCUGGUCUGAGAGGAUGAGCAGCCACACUGGAACUGAGACACGGUCCAGACUCCUACGGGAGGCAGCAGUGGGGAAUAUUGGACAAUGGGCGCAAGCCUGAUCCAGCCAUACCGCGCGGGUGAAGAAGGCCUUCGGGUUGUAAAGCCCUUUUGUUGGGAAAGAAAAGCAGAGGUUAAUACCCCGCUGUUCUGACGGUACCCAAAGAAUAAGCACCGGCUAACUUCGUG
rnacentral:rRNA from 1 species